AGCUCCCAGCCGUUUCCACCUUACUAAAACGAAAAAACACAAUGCACAUCCAUCUCCUCCACUUUUCACGUGAUUUUCCUGGAAUUUAGCUAAGAACUCUCAUAUAUUCCAGGGGUACAUCAUUUUUAGAGGGGACGCAUUGCUCUUUGGUCUCAUUCCUAAGAAUUCUAGUUGGUUUUGACAUUGCUUCUUGUGGCUUAAAGUUAUUCAUUAUGCCUCGUUUCCCUGAAUGUCUAGCCGCCACUUUUUUGAUUGGGAUUUGAUCACCGACACCUUUUUCACUCGUUUUCUUUUUCAGUAAAACACACACCCCAACCCUAGCGCCGUUUCUGGUUUCUUCAUCAUCAUCUCCUCCAAACAGACCUCUCUGAAAGAAUUGGACCCUCCCCCUUUAGCUGAAAAAAACCUAGCACAGCUUCCCCUUUCUUCUCAUUCCCUCUUCUUCUCCCUCAAAAAACCAGACUCUCAUUCAGAAAAGACGGAAGAAGGAGACCUGAAAAUAUAGACCCAUUUUCAUGCCUCUCAUACUCUACUUAUCCCCACUUAGCCAAAGAAUCUGAAAAAAUUCUCAGAAGAAACAUAGAAGUAUUGAAGAAUUUUAUCAACAAUGUGACCCAGAGAAAACUUUCCGUUGCAUUUUAUUUUUGGUGCUAGAUUUGGGUUCGAUAGAGCUGAUAGAUCAUCAGGUGGUUAGUAGCAGAGCCUCUCAUUAAGCUUAGGCAGUCACUCGAAGGCUCAGGGUGAGCUGCACUCUAUGGAUUCAUUUCGCACAUCCCGAGUCCAUGUCUUUUUACCAUUUGCUAUCUAUUUUAUUAUUUCAGACACCAUUGAUCAUGUAUUCAGACUUGUACCUAUUCAUUAGUUGCUCGUGUACUUGCUGUGUUUGAACCACAUUUUGACUAUAUUAUAUAUUUUACUAUUUUGAGAUUA